GAAAUCCGGCAGGGGGAGCUUGGCUCCCUGAUGUUAGCGGCGGACGGGUGAGUAACACGUGGGUAACCUGCCUGUAAGACUGGGAUAACUCCGGGAAACCGGGGCUAAUACCGGAUGGUUGUCUGAACCGCAUGGUUCAGACAUAAAAGGUGGCUUCGGCUACCACUUACAGAUGGACCCGCGGCGCAUUAGCUAGUUGGUGAGGUAACGGCUCACCAAGGCGACGAUGCGUAGCCGACCUGAGAGGGUGAUCGGCCACACUGGGACUGAGACACGGCCCAGACUCCUACGGGAGGCAGCAGUAGGGAAUCUUCCGCAAUGGACGAAAGUCUGACGGAGCAACGCCGCGUGAGUGAUGAAGGUUUUCGGAUCGUAAAGCUCUGUUGUUAGGGAAGAACAAGUGCCGUUCAAAUAGGGCGGCACCUUGACGGUACCUAACCAGAAAGCCACGGCUAACUACGUGCCAGCAGCCGCGGUAAUACGUAGGUGGCAAGCGUUGUCCGGAAUUAUUGGGCGUAAAGGGCUCGCAGGCGGUUUCUUAAGUCUGAUGUGAAAGCCCCCGGCUCAACCGGGGAGGGUCAUUGGAAACUGGGGAACUUGAGUGCAGAAGAGGAGAGUGGAAUUCCACGUGUAGCGGUGAAAUGCGUAGAGAUGUGGAGGAACACCAGUGGCGAAGGCGACUCUCUGGUCUGUAACUGACGCUGAGGAGCGAAAGCGUGGGGAGCGAACAGGAUUAGAUACCCUGGUAGUCCACGCCGUAAACGAUGAGUGCUAAGUGUUAGGGGGUUUCCGCCCCUUAGUGCUGCAGCUAACGCAUUAAGCACUCCGCCUGGGGAGUACGGUCGCAAGACUGAAACUCAAAGGAAUUGACGGGGGCCCGCACAAGCGGUGGAGCAUGUGGUUUAAUUCGAAGCAACGCGAAGAACCCUUACCAGGUCUUGACAUCCUCUGACAAUCCUAGAGAUAGGACGUCCCCUUCCGGGGGCAGAGUGACAGGUGG
rnacentral:rRNA from 1 species